UACGUAGGGUGCGAGCGUUAAUCGGAAUUACUGGGCGUAAAGCGUGCGCAGGCGGUUUUGUAAGCCAGAUGUGAAAUCCCCGGGCUUAACCUGGGAAUGGCAUUUGGGACUGCAAGGCUGGAGUUUGGCAGAGGAGACUGGAAUUCCUGGUGUAGCAGUGAAAUGCGUAGAUAUCAGGAGGAAUACCGGUGGCGAAGGCGGCAUCCUGGACCGACAUUGACGCUGAGGAGCGAAAGCCAGGGGAGCAAACGGG
rnacentral:rRNA from 1 species